rnacentral:rRNA from 1 species
GACAGAGGUGCCGAGCGUUAGGCGGAAUCACUGGGCUUAAAGCGUGUGUAGGCGGAUCGUUAAGUACCUUGUGAAAUCCCACGGCUCAACCGUGGAACUGCUGGGUAUACUGGCGGUCUUGAGCCACCUAGGGGCGAGCGGAACAGCGGUGGAGCGGUGAAUGACGUAGAUAUCGCUUGGAACGCCAACGGUGAAAACAGCUCGCUGGGGGUGUGCUGACGCUGAGACACGAAAGCCAGGGGAGCGAACGGG